CUCUCCACAGUCUGUUCAAUGGCAGCACCAACUGCCCCCUGGGUCUCAACAUCAGAGUUGCCAGGGUUACUGGUUGAAAGCACCAUCUGAGAGUAAACUGGAGUUUUGGUUAUGGCUGAGGAGACGCAGGAAGGGGAGCGCUGUCACCGGGAGGAGGUGGCCUGGUCAGAAAGGAACCUCAAAUUCUAGGAGACUACUAGCACAACUAUCAAUUAUGGAAGAACAAAAGAUUAAGAAAGCAGGAAUAUUCAACGGCGGUUUGUGUCUGCUCACCAGGCUGAAGGAGUC